CUACGGUGCUGAAGCAACAAAUGCCCUGCUUCCAGGAAAAGCCUCUAAGCAUCAGGUAACAUCAAAUCGUACCCCAAACCGACACAGGUGGUCAGGUAGAGAAUACCAAGGCGCUUGAGAGAACUCGGGUGAAGGAACUAGGCAAAAUGGUGCCGUAACUUCGGGAGAAGGCACGCUGACACGUAGGUGAAGUGAUUUACUCAUGGAGCUGAAGUCAGUCGAAGAUACCAGCUGGCUGCAACUGUUUAUUAAAAACACAGCACUGUGCAAACACGAAAGUGGACGUAUACGGUGUGACGCCUGCCCGGUGCCGGAAGGUUAAUUGAUGGGGUCAGCGCAAGCGAAGCUCCUGAUCGAAGCCCCGGUAAACGGCGGCCGUAACUAUAACGGUCCUAAGGUAGCGAAAUUCCUUGUCGGGUAAGUUCCGACCUGCACGAAUGGCGUAAUGAUGGCCAGGCUGUCUCCACCCGAGACUCAGUGAAAUUGAACUCGCUGUGAAGAUGCAGUGUACCCGCGGCAAGACGGAAAGACCCCGUGAACCUUUACUAUAGCUUGACACUGAACAUUGAGCCUUGAUGUGUAGGAUAGGUGGGAGGCUUUGAAGUGUGGACGCCAGUCUGCAUGGAGCCGACCUUGAAAUACCACCCUUUAAUGUUUGAUGUUCUAACGUGGACCCGUAAUCCGGGUUGCGGACAGUGUCUGGUGGGUAGUUUGACUGGGGCGGUCUCCUCCUAAAGAGUAACGGAGGAGCACGAAGGUUGGCUAAUCCUGGUCGGACAUCAGGAGGUUAGUGCAAUGGCAUAAGCCAGCUUGACUGCGAGCGUGACGGCGCGAGCAGGUGCGAAAGCAGGUCAUAGUGAUCCGGUGGUUCUGAAUGGAAGGGCCAUCGCUCAACGGAUAAAAGGUACUCCGGGGAUAACAGGCUGAUACCGCCCAAGAGUUCAUAUCGACGGCGGUGUUUGGCACCUCGAUGUCGGCUCAUCACAUCCUGGGGCUGAAGUAGGUCCCAAGGGUAUGGCUGUUCGCCAUUUAAAGUGGUACGCGAGCUGGGUUUAGAACGUCGUGAGACAGUUCGGUCCCUAUCUGCCGUGGGCGCUGGAGAACUGAGGGGGGCUGCUCCUAGUACGAGAGGACCGGAGUGGACGCAUCACUGGUGUUCGGGUUGUCAUGCCAAUGGCACUGCCCGGUAGCUAAAUGCGGAAGAGAUAAGUGCUGAAAGCAUCUAAGCACGAAACUUGCCCCGAGAUGAGUUCUCCCUGAGACUUAGAGUCUCCUGAAGGAACGUUGAAGACGACGACGUUGAUAGGCCGGGUGUGUAAGCGCAGCGAUGCGUUGAGCUAACCGGUACUAAUGAACCGUGAGGCUUAACCUUACA
rnacentral:rRNA from 2 species